rnacentral:rRNA from 1 species
AACGAACGCUGGCGGCAUGCCUAACACAUGCAAGUCGAACGAGACCUUCGGGUCUAGUGGCGCACGGGUGCGUAACGCGUGGGAACCUGCCCUUAGGUUCGGAAUAACUCCCCGAAAGGGGUGCUAAUACCGGAUAAUGUCUUCGGACCAAAGAUUUAUCGCCUUUGGAUGGGCCCGCGUUGGAUUAGCUAGUUGGUAGGGUAAAAGCCUACCAAGGCGACGAUCCAUAGCUGGUCUGAGAGGAUGAUCAGCCACACUGGGACUGAGACACGGCCCAGACUCCUACGGGAGGCAGCAGUGGGGAUUAUUGGACAAUGGGCGAAAGCCUGAUCAAGCAAUGCCGCGUGAGUGAUGAAGGCCUUAGGGUUGUAAAGCUCUUUUACCCGGGAUGAUAAUGACAGUACCGGGAGAAUAAGCUCCGGCUAACUCCGUG